UACAGAGGAUGCAAGCGUUAUCCGGAAUGAUUGGGCGUAAAGCGUCUGUAGGUGGCUUUUUAAGUCCGCCGUCAAAUCCCAGGGCUCAACUCUGGACAGGCGGUGGAAACUACCAAGCUGGAGUACGGUAGGGGCAGAGGGAAUUUCCGGUGGAGCGGUGAAAUGCGUAGAGAUCCGGAGGAACACCGACGGCGCAGGCAGCGUCCUGGCCGAUACUGACACUGAGGAGCGAAAGCGUGGGGAGCGAACAGG
rnacentral:rRNA from 1 species